GUUGGAUUUGCAAGGUAAGCCCUGCUGAGGUCCACAGUGUCUCCUCACCAGCGUGUCUGUGGCACCUCGUCAAUGGAUUUUCCGUCAAGUAUCAAGAAAGCACAUCUUUAUUCUAUUCUGGAUGAUUUAACCUGCACCUUCUAUUUGUACAACUCACUUGCAAGUUGCUGCCACCUGGACGGAGGAGUUGAAUGAGAAGUCAUAAUGUACAUGGGAGAGAGAAGAGAGAAUAUACAGCUAUUUCCAGCAGAGACACAUUGAGAAACUUCCAAGUGGGAUGAGGCCAGGAUUCCUGUCAUUUUCAACUUCAUGUCUAGGAGAUAGCCCUAGUUCUCAUACCACCUCUUCUGUUAAAAAUACCUGUCUCUGCAUGAGUUUGUUCUUUGGUGUUACAUACGUAGGCAAAUAAAAUUACCAAAAUGC